UCAGAGAUGAGCUUGUGCCUUCGGGAACUUAGAGACAGGUGCUGCAUGGCUGUCGUCAGCUCGUGUUGUGAAAUGUUGGGUUAAGUCCCGCAACGAGCGCAACCCUUAUCCUUUGUUGCCAGCGAUUAGGUCGGGAACUCAAAGGAGACUGCCAGUGAUAAACUGGAGGAAGGUGGGGAUGACGUCAAGUCAUCAUGGCCCUUACGAGUAGGGCUACACACGUGCUACAAUGGCGUAUACAGAGGGAAGCGAAGC
rnacentral:rRNA from 1 species